rnacentral:rRNA from 1 species
AUUGAACGCUGGCGGCAGGCCUAACACAUGCAAGUCGAACGCAGUGGGGACGGGUGAGUAACACGUGGGUAACCUCCCAUCAGAGGGGAUAACACUUGGAAACAGGUGCUAAACCGAUACUGAUGGAUGAACCCGCGGUGCAUUAGCUAGUUGGUGAGGUAACGGCUCACCAAGGCCACGAUGCAUAGCCGACCUGGGAGGGUGAUCGGCCAUACUGGGACUGAGACACGGCCCAGACUCCUACGGGAGGCAGCAGUAGGGAAUCUUCGGCAAUGGACGAAAGUCUGACCGAGCAACGCCGCGUGAGUGAAGAAGGUUUUCGGAUCGUAGAACUCUGUUGGUAGGGGAGCGGUAUCUAACCAGAAAGACACGGCUAACUACUUGCCAGCAGCCGCGGUAAUAC